rnacentral:rRNA from 1 species
AAUGAACGUUGGCGGCGUGGAUUAGGCUUGCAAGUCGAGCGCGAACCCGCAAGGGGGAGAGCGGCAAACGGGGUAGUAACGGGUAGGUGACGUACCCUCGGGACGGGGAUAGCCACGGGAAACUGUGGGUAAUACCCGAUAAUCUCUUAAGGCGUAAGGCCUUGAGAGCAAAGGUGUGAUUCCACCGGAGGAGCGGCCUGCUUCGUAUUAGCUAGUUGGUGAGGUAACGGCUCACCAAGGCGACGAUGCGUAGGGGGUGUGAGAGCAUGACCCCCACCACUGGGACUGAGAUACUGCCCAGACACCUACGGGUGGCUGCAGUCGAGAAUCUUCGGCAAUGGGCGCAAGCCUGACCGAGCGACGCCGCGUGUGGGAUGAAGGCCCUUGGGUCGUAAACCACUGUCAGAGGGGAUGAAGUGUUCCGGAGCAAUCUCCGGGAUUUGACAUAGCCUCAGAGGAAGCACGGGCUAAGUUCGUGCCAGCAGCCGCGGUAAUAC